rnacentral:rRNA from 1 species
CCUACGGGAGGCUGCAGUGAGGAAUAUUGGUCAAUGGGCGGGAGCCUGAACCAGCCAAGUCGCGUGAGGGAAGACGGUCCUAUGGAUUGUAAACCUCUUUAGGCGGGGAGCAAUGCCGGGCACGCGUGCCCGGAGGAAGAGUACCCGCAGAAUAAGCAUCGGCUAACUCCGUGCCAGCAGCCGCGGUAAUACGGAGGAUGCGAGCGUUAUCCGGAUUUAUUGGGUUUAAAGGGUGCGUAGGCGGAUUUUUAAGUCAGCGGUAAAAUGUCCGGGCUCAACCCGGGCCGGCCGUUGAAACUGCUCUGCUAGAGUGGGCGAGAAGUAGGCGGAAUGCGUGGUGUAGCGGUGAAAUGCAUAGAUAUCACGCAGAACUCCGAUUGCGAAGGCAGCAUACCAGCGCCCAACUGACGCUCAUGCACGAAAGCGUGGGUAUCGAACAGGAUUAGAUACCCGGGUAGUC